UACUUGAAUAUUCUACAUAACUAACUACGCACCUGUAUGAAUUUACCCUUUUAACUGAGGUAAAUUCUGUAAAAGGAAGAAAAAUUGAAGGGGCAUGGCAGAAAAUAUCCCCUUCUGUGGUAUAAAAAACGACAUCUGACGUGGGAAAAUUGUUAUCAUUUUAGCUGUAUAGAAAGAAUAUUAGGAUAAAAAUCAACAAGUCAUUCAAACGACUUCGAACGACACGUUCGUCGUUCCAUCAGAAUUGUGAGUUGAGACCCGGUGGAUUUUAUUGUUUGUUUCGACUGUAAAAUCAAGAUGACUUGCUGUGCACCAAUGUGCAGGAGUGGUUACCCCAAGGAACCUAAGGAUCUGGAAGUGGUUUUUCAUAGAUUUCCACUUAAAAAUUGCGGAACUCUGCUCCAAGUGAAUAAGUGCUAUUCCAAGAAAAAAUUGGAAACCUUCUAAAUUUUCAAGAAUUUGUAGUAAACAUUUUCAUGAUGAUGACUACAUUUGUAAGCGAAACCAAAUAUCUCCAACUCAAAUCCAGCCUGCAAAACGAACACUAUUAAAAACAAAUUCCUUUCCGACAAUAUUUGAAGGUGUACCUUCUUUCUUGAUAAAAAAAAUUCCAUCUUCGAGAAAAACUUCAACAUCUUUAGGCAAUAAAGAUAAGCUACAAAAAAAAACGAAACUUAGAGGAAAUUAAAAAGUUUCUGAACUCGGACAAUGUUGAAUCAAUAAAUGACAUUAUACAUAAAUUGAAAAAAAACUUAUACACAGUGGAUACCACGAAAUUAUUAGAAGGGAGGAUUUACUUUUCUUGUUCAUUGAUCCCUCAUCUCCGAAGAUCAUGUUUUCACUUCAAAUAUUGAACAAUCUUCAUUUUAAAAUGUUUCAUGGAAAUUUUAAAGUGUCCAUUCAAAUUGUCAAACGUUUAUGCCCUCUCUUAGUGCUAACAUUUAUGAGUCAAGUCUACAACAUUCUUGCAUUUUUAAAGAAGAGGUAUAUUAACAAUAAAAGCAUCAUUUCAAGUUCUGUGAGUAAAAUGAUGAAAUAAAAUUGGACUGACACUUCAUAGUUAUACUUAUCUUUUUAGUGUGCUUCAAAAUUAAAAAAAAAAAAAGAUAUCGACCAAUUAUUAGUCUUUCAAUAUCGAUUAUUUUGUUUUUAUUUUAAUAUUUAAAAUAUUGUUUAUUUCUAAAAUAUAUUUGCUAAUAC
rnacentral:lncRNA from 1 species